UCUACAUUUACAAACAGUUAAAAUAUUGCCGUGCAUGAAAGGCUGUGAAUUCCUUCGCUACUUGAUAAACACAGUAGCAGGUUUAAUUGCUUUGCUUUUCGAUGCAUAUGAAGCAGGUCGAAAAACUACACCUUUAAAGGUGCUUGUAUUUUGUCGCAACAAGUUAGGAACGCUUGGAUGUGCUUCGGAGUCGGCUUUUCAUGGUGACCGCCAAAUUAGAUGUUUGUUUUUCGCGCAGUUUGGGGUGCAAGAUACAAGAUGCAUGCUGUUCAAAUAAAUUAGCCCAACACAGAUACGUGAGGGGGAUAGCUCUAACUUAUGCUUGUAUUGGAUCUUAAACAUUGAUGACUUUAUUGUUGUUACCAUAGAUACACGACAGAAGAAGACAAUCGGACGUAGAACUUCCGAUAGUUUACGCACCUUUAAUUUGUUAUUAUUUAUUUUGCUUUAAAAAUGUGCAUGAGCAGAAACGUGCACUAACUUGUUACAUAAUCCUCAGUUGUUAUAAAUAAAAAAAAUUAUACUGGACAUUCAAAUUCCAGCAUGGAGACAACUGUUCGAGAACAGUAUAGCACUUCCUCACAGCGCAAAAUACAUGAUUAGAAUCUCUUAUGUUGAACCCGAUAUCACGAGCAAAACGGUUUGAACAUGACUAUAUUUUCUAGAUAGCAGUAAGUCUCUUUCUCAUGAUUCAGUAAAGAUGAUCUCUCGUUGACUAGUGUUUUCAGCCACGCUAAACUAAACCAACUUAACGCUCAGAAUUUAUCAGCUAAAAUCAUUUAUCGGUCCUAUGCUAACACAGAAGAAAACCUUCAAAUUGAAUGAUAAUUUUACAUUCAAAAGUUUGCAUGAGGAUCGAUUAUUUCAAACUGUUCUCAUUAGAAAACAAAGAUAAAUUACACUUGAAAAUUUGCAUGAAUGUGAAUAAAUUUACACUUGAAGUCUUAGUGCCAUCUUGCAGCAAACAUCAUGGACUUCUUGAUUCUAAAAAGGAAGUACAAGGACUAAGGAUAAAGAUUGACGAUAAAGGACUAAGGACAAGGACUAAGGACAAGGACAAGGACAAGGACAAGGACAAAGAGUGACGAUAAAGGAAGAAGUAGCUCUUUAAAUAAAUUAUUAAAACAGGAUGGAGAAGAAUGAAAUGCAGAAUAAGCGGAAAAUAACCCACGCACAAGAAACCGGUUUUCGAUGCAACACCUGGAAUUGCUCGACUAUUCAAAUGACGUUUUGGCGAGAUUGCUUUCCAAAUCAAUUUAAAGACUCAGAUUACGAUCUUGGCAAUAGAACUUUUGAGAAAAAAAGCGAGUAAACAUGAAAAAGGUCUUCCCACACGAAAAAAUUGACGGGACGCUGAAAAAAAGGCUGGAAAUUAUGAACUGUUUAAAGGAUGAAUUCGUAAACAUCUGAAUGAAAAGCAAGGCAAUCCUCGUUUUUUGACUUCACUCGUUGAUAGCAAAAUUUCGUGCCUAGUAGCACAAUUCUAUAUUUAGAUUGUAGACUAUAGUUGUUUAUAACUAUUCUAGAAAAUUAAUCGCAAAAUUCAUAAUGACAGUAUUCUGAUUAAAGUCAUUUAGCUAAAGGCUUCAAAGCA